CUAUGGGUUGCCCAGAGAUGUGGCCAGGAGUAGCUGAGGAGGUCCCGUGGGUUCCUGGAAGUGUUGAUAUCACCCAUUUCAGUCCUGCUUCUGAUGGGGACAUGUCACAAGGUGGCUGAUGCUUCUGAGGAAGAAGGAGAAGAAAGCAAUUCCUGGUCAUGCCCUUUCCUCCUUGUUACAGACCUGCUUGGCUGGGUUCUGGAGCUUCUCCUUCAAUUGCCCACGUGAUCUUCUUAUAUGAAGCUUGAUGGGUAAUCUUCAUGGGCAACUUGGGAUUUAGAAUCACCUGGGAGACACACCUCUGCCUGUGUCAGCUAAAGUAUUUCAGAACUCACAGAGGAGCAAGCUGGGACCUUUGCAGAUCUUCACUGAAGGCUUGGGCACAGCACCAGGAAAUGUAGGUGCAGACUGGCAAGAAGAUAUAGCUGUCCACAGCCAACAAUCCCAGCCUCAACCCUGCAAGACGCCAAGAGCUGUGCAGCCUACCACCCUCAUCACCAUUCUCCCAGACGCCAGGUCUGCCCAUCUUCCUGAGAUGUGAUCUACUAACUACCUUUUGUCCUAAACACUCAGCUCUUUGAAGGUAUCCCUCUGUCUAUAAAGACUAGCCUCUAAGAGCAAUAAAGCCAUUGAAGAUCUUCUCCUGAA